rnacentral:rRNA from 1 species
UACGAAGGGUGCAAGCGUUGUUCGGAAUCAUUGGGCGUAAAGCGCGCGCAGGCGGAUCAGCAAGUCAGAUGUGAAAUCUCGGAGCUCAACUCCGAAACUGCGUCUGAAACUGCUAGUCUAGAAUGUCGGAGGGGGCAUGGGGAAUUUCACGUGUAGGGGUAAAAUCCGUAGAGAUGUGAAGGAACACCGGAGGCGAAGGCGCCUGCCUGGACGACUAUUGACGCUGAGGCGCGAAAGCGUGGGGAGCAAACAGG